GAUGUGUUCCGAAUUUGGAAGGAAGAUUUCAGACCUGGUGGUGAAUGAAUUGUGGGUCACAGAUGGACCUCAGUGGGUUACCUGAGCGUGGGGCCGGGUUUUUCCAAGAUGAAAGGACUACUCCUUGAGCAACUGUGCUAAAGAGCUUUGUAUGCUCUGAGAUGGCUGAAAUGAAGAUUUGAACCAAGGUUCAAGAAGCUGUAAUUUGGAAAAGAUGAGCCUUAUGAACCCAGAUCUAGGCAUUGUAAGUGUCUAAACCAAAAGGUGCUUGCACCCUACAAGCUGAUGGAAUGAAGACCAGGUGUUGACUGAAGACCCCAGUGACCAAGCUGUGAUGGCAGAAUUAUCUUCGAUUUAAUGUUCAUUUCACUUCGUGCAUAUUCUGAAAUGAUUCCAAUAAAGCCUGUAAAACAUCUG